UCGUGAUAUGAUGGCAGUCAUGUUUCGGGACUGACCGGAAACGACAGAAUACUCAUUGCUGACCAUUU
ensembl:snoRNA